rnacentral:rRNA from 1 species
AUUGAACGCUGGCGGCAGGCCUAACACAUGCAAAUCGAGCGGAUGAAGGGAGCUUGCUCCUGGAUUCAGCGGCGGACGGGUGAGUAAUGCCUAGGAAUCUGCCUGGUAGUGGGGGAUAACGUCCGGAAACGGGCGCUAAUACCGCAUACGUCCUGAGGGAGAAAGUGGGGGAUCUUCGGACCUCACGCUAUCAGAUGAGCCCAGGUCGGAUUAGCUAGUUGGUGGGGUAAAGGCUUACCAAGGCGACGAUCCGUAACUGGUCUGAGAGGAUGAUCAGUCACACUGGAACUGAGACACGGUCCAGACUCCUACGGGAGGCAGCAGUGGGGAAUAUUGGACAAUGGGCGAAAGCCUGAUCCAGCCAUGCCGCGUGUGUGAAGAAGGUCUUCGGAUUGUAAAGCACUUUAAGUUGGGAGGAAGGGCAGUAAGUUAAUACCUUGCUGUUUUGACGUUACCAACAGAAUAAGCACCGGCUAACUUCGUG